GAGCUCUCAGGAGGGAGAGAAUCUGGAGAGGUUUCAAUAGUUGAAAGUGCUGGUGGAUCAACAAGCCAAUUCCAGAAUUUUAAAAGAUUCAUCCUUGUACUUCUGUUACUCUAGAACCACUCCUGGUACCAACUUCUGUAUUAGUCAGGGUUCUCUAGAGUCACAGAACUUAUGGAUAAUCUCUAAAUAGUAAAGGAAUUUAUUGAUGACUUACAGUCGGCAGCCGAAUUCCCAACAAUUGUUCAGUCGCAGCUGUGAAUGGAAGUCCAAGGAUCUAGCAGUUACUCAGUCUCACGCAGCAAGCAGGCAAAGGAGCAAGAGCUAGAGCUAGACUCCCUUCUUCCAAUGUCCUUAUAUUGUCUCCAGCAGAAGGUGUAGCCCAGAUUAAAGGUGUGUUCCACCACACCUUUAAUCCCAGAUGAAAGGAGUAGCCCAGAUUAAAGGUGUGUUCCUUAAACUCGGAGAUUCAAUCUUCUGGAAUCCAUAGCCACUAUGGCUCAAGAUCUUCAAACCAAGAUCCAGAUAAGGAUCUCCAAGCCUCCAGAUAAGGGUCACUGGUGAGCCUUCCAAUUCCGAAUUGUAGUUCAUUCCAAAUAUUGUCAAGUUGACAACCAGGAAUAGCCACUACAUAAGGUUAACUAAAAACAGGGUCCGGCGAGAUGGCUCAGGUGUUAAGAGUACGUGCUGUUUGCUGGUUUAGUUAUCUACCGGGUGUUCACUCUAGGAAGAAAGUUGAAGUUAUCCAACUGGAAAGCCAGGGAGUGCAGAGUUUUGAUGGCCUGUACCCACAAGAUGCCUCACAACCAUCUCACACUCUAAUUCUAGAGGACCCGAUGCCACGUUUUGGCUUCUGUGGGCACCAGGCACAUACAGUGCACAUACAUACUUGCAAGCAAAAACCCAUGCACUUAAAAUAAAUAGAUGUUUACAAGAUAAACUUAAAAUGCCAUUUUUAGUUCAUCUAACCGUAAAGCCCAUUGCUGUUCCUAUAUUUUCUGUGAUCUGUCUCUUAACUGCUGGGGUGUUUGUUUGUUUGUUUGUUUUAAUCCCCGAAUAAAUUGCCUCAAAAGUAGCUGAUGGUCUCAGCAGCUGACCAUCUCCGAAGAGAUACACAGGGAGAGGGGAGUCAUUAGUCUCUCCUGAACAGAGGCAGAAAGAAUCCAGGGAAUCGUCCCAAGCUUAAAAUAUACCAGCAAAUUACUUUGGUUUAAUUUCAUUUGUUCUUACCCAGUAAUAAAUUUCUGGGGCACUCCUCCUUGGGAGUUGGAUUAAUUAUGGUGUUUUAUGGACUGAGCUAGGACAAAGAAAAAAAUUGAAAAUCCUUACAGCUUUUUGACAAGACCCCCUUUAAGUAUGGCUACGUGCUGGCCUUCACAAUGCAAUCAUUGUUCAAGGAGCUUUGACUGAAGCAUUUCAGCCCCAAGGCUGAUGAUUGAUCUGAGCACUAAUCGAUCUCAACCAAAAUGGAAACGGUUUUGCCUUCAAUAUGAUGAAACCUUUAAUAUUGGGGGGGGAAAGUAUUUGUAUAACCCAUCUUAUUAGUUGCCUCCUUAAUACACACUGUACCUUUACAUUGUAAAACAUCAGUCUUACAUGGAGCAGCAACUCUUAAACGUAAUGAACAUAACGUCAGGAAAUCGCUUGGUGGCACUCAGGCAAGGCUCCCUUUCCACACAGGAGACACUGUUGACACAACCCUUUCUCUUCUAUUGGGGAAUAAGUAAAUAAUGGUAGGGGUAACCUCAGCCUCCCUCCCAGGCUUGUGACACAAGCCUGAAAUUGGAAACUAUGUGUUCAGCAAAGCAAAACAGAAAGAAACAAAAGCUUGGGUCUUUCUGCCCAAGGAGUAGCGCUAUCAACCCCAGACUUCUAACUCAGCUUCUGUUUGGGGCACGUGUUUCUACACGUUGGGUUACACAGGUGGGCAGGUACAGGCUAAGGGUUGAGGCCAGGGGCUUUCCUCAGUCACUCUCUACCUUAUUUUUGGAAACAGGGCCUUUCACUGAAUGUCAGUUUCCCUGAAGCUAGUCUCACGUGGAGCUCAUGGACAAGCCGCACUGACUGGCCAAUGAGACAUGGGGUCCUCGUGUCUAACCUCUCCAGCUCUGGGUCUGAGGGCUGUGCCACGAAGCCUAGCUUUUGCGAUAGGGUUCAAACAUUUCUCAUGCUUGCACGGCAAGCACUUUACUGACAGAGCCAUGUCCCUCCCCCCACCACUUGUUUUUAUACGACAAAUACCCACUCCAUAAUAGUUCACUUUCCUGUUACAUAGGUCCAAACCAAAUCCUGACGACGAUGAAACCAUCAUGACCAAGCAACAUUUGUGGGUAAUCCAGACUUUAAAACUUAAUCUAGACUUUUAAACUGAGACUAGAAAGUCAAGGAGAAAAGUUUACGUAAUGAAAAUAGGUCCACUGUAAGUAGGUCAGGGGUAAGAAUGUGAACCUAGCUCCGCCCAUGUGGGGUUCAGUUCAGACAAGCCUUUAUCGUGCGCCCUUCUGAUUACAGCUGCUUUUCUUGGGAAACAUCCUUUGAUUUCAGCUCACUUUCCACUCUCAUCUCUAAUGAGGUUCAGCUAACAAAACCAUUGCAAAAGUACACAGGGAUACACAGUCCUGAGCCGGGCCAACAGACAGGAAUCCCCAUUGCCGUGAGACUGAGCCCAUCUGAAGUAAGCACUCCGUUACUUACUUAUGGAGAGGUUCACCCUCCUCUGCAUAGGCAACAGGAAAUGAGUAACACUUCCUCUCACUCAGUGAUAAACUGCAGC
rnacentral:lncRNA from 1 species